GGUAGAGUGACCGAGUGGCUAAGGAGCACGCCUGGAACGCGUGUAGAGCGUAAGCUUCGUGGGUUCGAGUCCCACCUCUAUCG
rnacentral:tRNA from 1 species